GCAGUCGUGGGGCAUCAUGAUGUAGUAAUACAUUGAUGGCGACCGGCGCACGGGUGAGUAACGCGUAUCCAACCUACCCUCCACUCAAGUAUAGGCUUCCGAAAGGGAGAUUAAUCCUUGAUAUCGUCAUUCUCUCUCCUGUUAGAAUGAUAAAAGGACAUCGUUUCGGUAGAGGAUGGGGAUGCGUUCCAUUAGGUAGUAGGCGGUUUAACAGGCCACCUAGCCGAUGAUGGAUAGGGGUUCUGAGAGGAAUAUCCCCCACACUGGUACUGAGAUACGGACCAGACUCCUACGGGAGG
rnacentral:rRNA from 2 species